rnacentral:rRNA from 1 species
AACGAACGCUGGCGGCAGGCUUAACACAUGCAAGUCGAGCGCCCCGCAAGGGGAGCGGCAGACGGGUGAGUAACGCGUGGGAAUCUACCGAGCCCUGCGGAAUAGCUCCGGGAAACUGGAAUUAAUACCGCAUACGCCCUACGGGGGAAAGAUUUAUCGGGGUUUGAUGAGCCCGCGUAGGAUUAGCUAGUUGGUGGGGU